rnacentral:RNase_MRP_RNA from 1 species
GAGCGGAAAUUGCCAGCGGGACGCUGUAACCUAUUGGCUUUGACAUUUGCAACGGUGCUGCUAGCAGAGCUGCGAUGAAGAGCUGGAGUCUUUUGCACCAUCACAGCCAUGUCGUGAGUGCUCGCUUCAGGGCACCAACCAAACGGGGCUCACUCUC